rnacentral:sRNA from 2 species
UUACAUGGAAUAUCAAGAUUUUUUAGUCCCAUUUCACUCAUGUUUUGAUAAUUCUAGUCACUUUACACUCCCAUUCUGGUCCUGGUUCCACUAAAAUCAUGUCAAGAAAUGGACUGGGACCAAACUAAACCAAACCAAAUGUGUAAUUCAUGGUCCCGGCGGCCAGUCUAUUUGACACUAUUCUAAUAACAGUUUAUAAAUUAAUUAAAAAAAGAAAAAGAAAAAAAAUCAGAAAAAGAGAUUAUAUAAGAGGAUUUUUAUAGAUAAGAAAAUCAGAAUAGAAAAAAUAUUAAAGAUCAUACUCUGAAGAAGUACAGAGUAAAAGAAUUAUUAGAGUAUUAAAAUAUAUACAAUUGUAAGAC